ensembl:lncRNA
UGCUGUUUAAUCACAUUCUACAAAACAAUGUCACUACAGUGGCUUUGAGAUAUAACUGAACAUUUAGCCCACUUUGUAGAAAAUACAGAUAUAUAUUGUGUUUCGAUAUUCAGCAAAAAAAAAUACCGGGAUAUGAUUUUUGGUGUAUAUAUCACCCGGCCCUACGUCUGGCUGAUGACUUUGGCCUCUUCACCACCAGCUUCUCCGUAGGCUCCGCACUGAUCCCCUGAGGAUACAAAAACCAAUCAAUCAAUCAAUCAAUCAAUCAAUCAAUCAAUCAAUUCAAUCUUAUAUAGCGCUUCUCUAAAUACCCGAAGUCGCUUUACAGAGUCCGUACAGUAUCAUCAUGAUGCCAUUAACUUUCACACACAAGCAAUGUUACUAUCACACAGCUUUACAUAAUCCAUUAACUUUCACACACAAGCAAUGUUACUAUCACACAGCUCUACAUAAUCCAUUAACUUUCACACACAAGCAAUGUUACUAUCACACAGCUUUACAUAAUCCAUUAACUUUCACACACAAGCAAUGUUACUAUCACACAGCUCUACAUAAUCCAUUAACUUUCACACACAAGCAAUGUUACUAUCACACAGCUUUACAUAAUCCAUUAACUUUCACACACAAGCAAUGUUACUAUCACACAGCUUUACAUAAUCCAUUAACUUUCACACACAAGCAAUGUUACUAUCACAUAGCUUUACAUAAUCCAUUAACUUUCACACACAAGCAAUGUUACUAUCACACAGCUUUACAUAAUCCAUUAACUUUCACACACAAGCAAUGUUACUAUCACAUAGCUUUACAUAAUCCAUUAACUUUCACACACAAGCAAUGUUACUAUCACAUAGCUUUACAUAAUCCAUUAACUUUCACACACAAGCAAUGUUACUAUCACACAGCUCUACAUAAUCCAUGAUCUGUGUCCUAAGCUUUGCCAUGUCUGCAGGGUGUGCUUGUGCAUGCCAAACUAUGGCGCUCACUCCUCCUCUUCAUCAUGCUGAGGUGAGCCGUUUGGUAAAACAUGGCUACAAGGAGGUUCACUCGUCGUCUUCAUCAUGAGCCGUUUGGUAAAACAUGGCUACAAGGGCG